rnacentral:misc_RNA from 1 species
AAGUCGUAACAAGGUUUCCGUAGGUGAACCUGCGGAAGGAUCAUUAACACGUAUCCACGUAUCAAACCCUCGUGCUCUCUGGUCGUGCUCAAACGUUGGAGAAAAGUGUGGUGAAGGGUUCGGGUGAGUGGUAAGACAAUGACUUUCGGGUUUUUGGUCUGACACUUGAACCUUUCACCUUGAGUGGUUUUCUCUUCGGGGAAAGCUAUUCAGGCUUUACUUUGACGGUCGAGUCAUAUUUUUCAACCAUAUGGUUUCCUCUUUACCAUUGAAACCAUUUUGGUUAACCCAAUUUUAAACCCCUUUAACUAUUUGACUGACUAUUUCAUAUAACAAGCUGGAAACGGCUUGCUUAUUAUAUACGAAAUGCUUGACAACUCUUAGCAACGGAUAUCUUGGUUCUC